rnacentral:lncRNA from 1 species
GUCUACUCAAAAACCAAACAUACGAAUAGAACCAUAAGCAAAUAAACAGCAUACAAAUAGAACCAUAUGUCAACAUCUUUCAGUCACAUUCUAUCUCUCUCCCUCUCUCUCUUGAUGUGCCCAUAAAUCUUGCUGUCAACAAUUCACAACCUCCUCUUUUUCAUUCCAUCACCCAUCAACAAAAGAAAAAGCUCUUUUAAAUAUUAAAUAUUUCCACUCAAAAACCCUUCGAACAAAAUCUUUUCCCUCUCUCUCUCUCUCGCUCGCUCUCGUUUUCAUUUUCUCUACUCGACUCCAAUCUUUGAUCCAUCAAAUGUCUUCUCGAAACUGCAGAUCAAGAACCAAUCAACUCGCGAAAACAAUCAUUAUUCUCGUUGUUCUUCUUUUCUUUUUGGGUUGCUGCAAUGGAGCAAGAACCACGAACAUGUUCACGAGAUCACCACCGAAACAAACCAACGAAGUUUCACCACCUCAUCAUCAUCAUCACGAUCAUCAAGUACAAAAUCACAAAAGUGUACAGUUCUUGGGGUCCAUGCCACGUCAGUUUCCGGUUCCAGCCUCUGGUCCUUCAAGAAAACAUAACGACAUCGGUUUAGCUAGUACUACUACGACUCGAUCUUCUCCUUGAAGCUCAAAAGAUUUGAUUAAUCAACCUCCUUUUUCUCUCUUUGUUUUGUGGUUUAAUAUUGGUUUAAACAGAUGUAAAUAGGAUUUUAGUUCGAUUUAUUUUCAAAUUAUAGUAUUGGAACUUGCUAGAUCCAUUGAGAUAGUGCAUGUACGUAACUGUAAAGAGGAGACAUAAGGGUCUUUUUGUAGUACAACAAUCAUUGUUCUUUUUGAUUUUCUGACAAGGAAUGUUCCGCCCAUGCUUAAGUUUCUCAUACGGCUCGUAUACAGUUAUUAAGAUAUAAGUCCCAAUCACUGACAACGUACAAUCACUGACAUGUUUGACGUUUGUAUACGAUUAUAUAGUUCCAAUACUUGGAAUUUUAAUUGUAUAAGUCCAAUCUUAAUCACACGUUUUGGUUAUAGCAUAUAUAUACUUUGAAUGAUAUAUCGAAAUAAAAUAUAAUCAUUCAAGUACUAAUAAUGUGUGUUCGUGCGUGAAAGAAUGCUCAGUUGCUGAAAGUAUACGUUAUAGCUAAAGCGUGUGAUUUAGAUUGGAAUUAUACAUAUAAUUGAUUAUUUUGGAUCUAUCCUUUUGUUCAGUUGUAGAAUAAUGUCAUUCAGUAGUCGUGGAUGCGAUGUAGCAACGGAUUUGAUGUGAUAUCUCCUAAGAAUUCCAGAUGUUCUUUGAACGUUUUCUUGGGGUUAGUGAAUUGUCAUUGGGGUUAGUAGUGCAUUUUUCUGCAUAGUUGUAAAAAACAAUCAAUUAUAUUCAAUUGUUUCUCAUUCAAACUUUGAAUAACUUUAUUGGACUCCCAUGUGAUUGUGAUGAUAUAUACUUUUCAUGAACCACAGGGUCCCUUGACUCUAAUUAAGUUUCUUGUCUCGGUUACGACUUUAGCUUAGGUCAUUAAUUAGGAAUUAAUGAGGCAUGAGCUAGAUUAAUACUUAUUGAUACAUGGCUUAUAUUUCUUGUUUUGUAUUUGACGUCUUAUUGUAAUGAGUUUAGUUUAGAUACUGUAUUAGUCAAAGCAUCCGUGGGGAAUGAAUAAAAUAACAAGCAAAAUUGGCUUAAACGAUGUGACAAAUGCGAAUGUAUAUUACGAUCGAACUACGAAGGAUAUGAAGCAUGUGAUGUGUUCAUGCGUACUUGUGGUUUUAUGUCCACGUGCAAGUACACGUGCGGUGUACCCCGCCUGUAUAGGGUCUCGAUUAAUUCGAAUCACAUAUAUUAAUGUAAUAUACAACCUAUAAAUCUAGAACAUAUCCAUAUGCACGCAUCGACAAACAUACUCGUUCCAAAAACUCAAUAUUUUGGUCAAUGAUUGAACAUUAUUGAUCGCAUAUGAUUGAUACAUAAUAUUGUAAAUAUAUGUUAUACACUAUAAGAAGUAUCAGGUAUAAUAAUGUUCACAAGAAGUAUGAGAUAUAGUAUCACGUACAUAUAUGUUUUGAUGUUUCUUUCUGAGAAAUAGUUUUGAUGUUUGGUAACACUUUGAAAAUGGUCUGGUUUUUAUUUGAUCCAAGAUUUACCUGGUUAGAAAGUUAACGAUUUCUAUAUUAUAUAACUCGAAAAAAAUUCAAAACAUUCACAAACAUGUAUAAUGAACAUCACUUUUAUGAUUUGCGAUUUCGCUCUAUACGUUUAGACAAUUACGAUAAUACUAGUCUCAAGUUAAAAUAUACUCAAUCUACCGCUUCGAUCAUGUGAAAAUACGCAACCUCUGAUCACCGUCAAACUCUGACAACCUCCACGCAUAAAAACACAAAUUGCAGUUAGCUUAAAAAGCUCACAAAACAACGGUACCGCAAUCACACAAAAUAUGUGUUUCAGUUUCUUUAUUCAGAUUCAACGCGAGAGUUCUCUGAAGAGCUACGAGCCUUUUUAUAUGAUAGAAGGUUAAUGUUCUAAUGAGUUCAAAAUCAUUUUUUAAUCCAUUUUGAUAGUGGUUAGUGAUAAUAGUGAUAGUGGUUACGUUUUAUUCGAGCUGAAUGUUUAGAUAUCAUAAAUUUUAGAUAAGUUCUAUGUAUACUUUAUUAAAUAUUAAAAAAUAUUUUAAAGUGUCAAAGAAAAUAGAAUAGACACCAUUGUGAAUAUAAAAUAAAUAACAUAAUAUUUUUAUAUAAUUAUAUAAAUAUAAAUUAUUAAUUUAUGAGUUUAAUGAGUUCAUAUUUUUACAUAAACGUUUUUCAAAAAUAUUAUUUUAUUGAUUUAUAUCUUCACCUAAAUCGAAAUCAACAAAAUUUAUUAAUUUGUCGUGUUAUUAAUUUAUAGAGUUUCUCCUGCAUGUAUUACUUAUAAUUAAUUUAUAGAGUUUCUGGUGCCUGUAUUACUUAAAAGCGAUCAUAUAACUUGAACUGCUGGCAACCUCUCCAGAUGACAAUAGUGUUUGGUUAGCGACCCAACAAACUACAACAAUAUCUGGUACUGCUCAAUGAAAACUGAUCCUUGCUUUGGUUGAUGUCCAAAAAUUGACUACUAUGUACAGUUUACUUUUAUCCGCUGUGAACAUGAAUUUCGUGAAAGUUACAAAUCUUAGGAUUAAUCCUAAAAGUGGGCUUACCAUAAAUCAAACGUGCAGGAAAUUCCUCAAUCGCUAUCAGACCAUCAUUCGUUCUUCUGGCCAGGAUCAGAACAAAGUAAAACACAAAGACGACCAUUCUCUGGAAUCUUUGUAGGCCUUUGAGUCUCUUGAUUCUUCCCCCUCCCCCACUUUUUCCAGGUCUGGUUAGAACCUGCCAUGCAUACAUUAAAAGAUAAGUAUUUACAUUAACAAUAACAACUGAACCAAAAAGACAAUAGACAGUUCAAGUUGGGUUCGUAAUAACAAAAGCACAACUCCUUUAUUCUACUGUAACUUUUAAAACAAAAGCAUCUGCAUUUAAAAAGAAAACGUGUCGUAUCUAGCUGCUUGCAACGAACAACCUUUCAAUUGGAAAAGUAGACCUGAGUAAUCGACAUUCGUGGAAGAUCUGGUGCUAGGGUUUUGGCGAGAGUAUGAUUCAAAGAAGAUCAGUGAUUCCUCACGAGCACCUUAACGCGAUCUUAACUGAUGAGGAGACAGUGGGUUCUAUUGAUUACCCCAUUAUCACUAUCAAUUACUAUGUUGACUGAAUUGGGACGGAGACGAUCUGACGGUUACGCUUGACACCACAACGACGAAGAACUUCUGUUGGCAUUGAUACUUGGUGAGUGAGCCAGAACAAAAUUAGGUAACUGGGUCACGGUUUUCAUUGAAGACCCAACAUGUAACUAAUUGAGGCCCAUACAACAUAACUCACCAGCAAACGCGAGAUGAUCGAACAAUAUGACAACAGGUGUCACAAAAUGCCCCAAGCACAUUGAUGAUGUGGCACAAGGAGGUGAGAGAAAACUCCCCUUUAUAUAUAUAGAUAGAUAAUAAUAAACUUUUAACCUACUGUUAAACACUGAACAUGUUUGUUUCUAAAAAAGCUUUUAAUUCUCUGGUAAAAUGUUACGUUAGUGGUGACAACUCGUGAAGAUAGUUGGAUCAUAAGGUUUCUAUCUGGGCCGAAAAACGGUUACAUAUUGAAUCUCAAAAUAUUACUUUUCUUCUAUCUGUCCAUUAUAAGUCUGCCCAUUUAUUUUGACGAACCCAGUGACAUUUUUAUUCAUAAGAUGCAACUCAACACAUGCAAUCACUGUAAAGUGAAAUGGGACGAGUGGACAGUUAACUUAUCUUUCCUUUGAAUACAACUACAAAUUAUGACGGUUUUACUCUUUAUUUUUUGUUACUUCCUCACUUUUUAAACAGUUUAAUUAUAUUGCGAGGUUAUUUGACAAAAAUUAUAGGAAAUCAAAUGUGACACAAAAAUUAGAAGUCAUAUAGCUAUUUUUGAUUAUUUAAGCUGCCAACCAACGAAGACAGACCACUUUCCAACAAUUAAUUGGUAAAGUAUAUGAAAGCACAUGCUUCCAACCUGGUGUAUGAAACUUUUUUAUUUGCAAAAAUAUUAAUUUCCAUAAAUUUAAUCAUUCCAAAAGGUGAUAAACAUUUGAAAUAUUGGACUAAUUAAUUUUGGACUAUACCAAUGGAUAAAACACACUGUGAGACUAUACCGUAACAAACGAUGUAGAGCAUAUAUAUAUAUUUUUUUUGGAACCACCAGAAAAACGUAUCAUAAAGAGAGACCAUAUCACAAUACUAAAAGGGCAAUAUACUCUAUUGUGAGGCUGCCAUAUCCUCAAAAAAAAUUGGCCAAUGAGAUUAGGCUAGGUGCUAUGUAUUACCACGUCAUUCUACUAAUAUUCAUCCAAAAGUAUUGCUUCAUUGCCUAAUAAAUUUUGGAUCGUUUCUCUUCUCAUUCAUAUACUUCAGUUUCCCAUCUCUCUUCGUUUUUCAACUUUGCUUUACUCCCUGAGAAUCCCAACCAGCUCCCCGCCACCUUCCCCUACGAUCUCUUCACUGUCACCCAAAAAAUGAGCGAUAAUGAUCGCGACAUCUACGGUGAAGUUCGCGCGUGAGCUGGAUCCAAAUGAUCGACAUCUUAAAUCAGAUAUGACACGAUCGCGCGUAGGAUUGGAGAUUCAGAUUGGAACAAAGGUGAAAAUUGUAAAUGGUGAAGAUGAAGAGUCAAAGAGUAGAGAUCAAAGUGAUAUGCCAAGGAUUCGAUCAACGUCUGGUAAUGGAGUUUUAAUGGAAUCAGGAUUCGUAAUUUCAUAAUUAAUUUGUUUUUGUUCCGUCUGGAUUUGUAUUACAUUUGGAAUAAUCCCAAAGAAGAUUUCUUUCUCAGUUUUUGUUGAAAUUUUCAGAGUCUCUCUCUCUCUCUCUCUCUCUCUCUCUUGAUGUGCCCAUAAAUCUUGCUGUCAACAAUUCACAACCUCCUCUUUUUCAUUCCAUCACCCAUCAACAAAAGAAAAACUCUUUUAA